GGUUUUCUGAGUUGUGAAGACCAUUCCCCUCACUGAGGCAG
rnacentral:misc_RNA from 1 species